GUGGGCGUAGCUCAGUUGGUAGAGCCCCGGGUUGUGAUCCCGGUGGUCGCCGGUUCGAGUCCGGUCGCCCACC
rnacentral:tRNA from 1 species